rnacentral:rRNA from 1 species
UACGGAGGGUGCAAGCGUUGCUCGGAAUCACUGGGCGUAAAGCGACCGCAGGCGGCCUGACAAGUCGGAUGUGAAAGCCCUGGGCUCAACUCAGGAAUUGCAUUCGAAACUGGUAGGCUCGAGUACGGGAGAGGGGGGUGGAAUUCCGCGUGUAGCAGUGAAAUGCGUAGAUAUGCGGAGGAACACCGAUGGCGAAGGCAAUCCCCUGGGCCUGCACUGACGCUCAUGCACGAAAGCGUGGGGAGCAAACAGG